rnacentral:lncRNA from 1 species
GUCGCUACAUUCACCAUUCCAUACUUUGCGAGUUCACGAAGAAAAUGGAAACAAACAUCAAUAUGAUUGAUGUGUCCAUGCAGUAUUGGAUUCACAGAAAGCUUGAUUGCUGAACUAUUGUCCCAAAAAAUAGUUGUGGAUUUACUCUGAAUUUUCAAAAAUUCUUCUUAAUGCUAUACCAAUAAAUUCUGCCUCUAUGGUAGAAAGAGUGAUUACAGGCUAUUUAUUUGAGGACCAAGACAUAGCAGCUGAACUUAAUAGAAACACAUAACCUGAAGUACUUUUUCUAUCCUUUGGAUCCCCAGCAUAGUCACUGCCUGUAUAUGCAAUCAACUCUUCAUUUUCUCCCUUCUUGUAGAAAAUCCCAAACUCAGUUGUUCCAUUUAGAUACCUUAUUUUCUUCUUUGCCAUUGCCAGAUGGAGCCCAGUAGGUCUUUCCAUAUACCAACUAAUGAGGCUUACUGAAAACAUCAAAUCUGGUUGAGUGGUCGUUAUAUACACGAGGCUUCCAACUAUCUGUUUGUUAGUAAGUGGCAUCCACUCUAGCUCCAUCCUCGUUCUUCUCUAGCUUAAAUCUAGGAACAAUUGGGUUUUGGACUGGAUUGAAAUUAAUCAUGCCAGGCCUUUUCAAACUUCCAAUGCAUACUUCCUUUGGUUAAUAAAAAUACCGUCAAUUUUUUGUGUUAAUUCAAUGACAAGAAAGUAUCACAUCCUUCCAAGAUCAAUCAUAUCGAACUCUAAUUUCAUAGAUUUUUUGAACACAUAUAUCAUGGACUUAUCAUUUCCAGUAAGAAUGAGAUCAUCAACAUAGAGACACAAUUAGAAUUUUACCUCCUCCUUCAGUCUUGAUGAACAUAGUAUGUUCAUAGUAGCACUUCUCAAAACCUUCUUUCAUAAAAUGAGACUCUAUACGACUAUAUCAAGCUAGUGGAGCUUGCUUAAGUCCAUAUAUAGCCUUUUAAGUUUGCAUACCCUAUCCUCAUUACUUUUUGGUUCAUAACCUCAGGGCUGCAACACGAAAAUCUCUUCAUUUAAUUUACCAUGCAAAAAGGCUAACUUCACGUCUAGUUGAUAAAUUGUCCACAUUUUUUGGGCUGCAAGAACAAUUAUCACACGAGUUGUAUCUAGUUCAGCCACAGGUGCAAAUACCUCAGUAUAGCCUACCCCAUACUAUUGAGUAUAUCCUUUGCUACAAGUCGUGCCUUGUAUUUAUCAUUUUCUCUAUUCUCAUUAAAUUUAGUUUCAUAAACCCAUUUUAAUCCUAUAUUCUUUCCUGCAAUAGGAAAGUCAAUUAAUUUCCAAGGAUCAUUCCUCUCUAUUGCUUCCAUCUCCAAAUCCAUGCUUGUUUUCCAUUUUUCACUCUUCACGGUAUCAUCAUACGAUAUAGGGCCACUAGCAACAAACAUGACCAAGCGAGCCAUAUCCUCUUCCUCACAAGGAGCUUCUUAACUGAUGUAGUCUGUCAUCCAAAUUGGAGGCCUUCUUUGUCUUGUUCCAUGAUGUUUGGGUGUGAGUCUUUAUUUAGUAAUUUGACUAUAGAAGAAUUCACUUUUUCUGUUUCUGUUUGACUAAUAGAAUCUAUCUCAAAUUCAUCUUCAUUAUCACUUUCUCCCCACUCUAAAUCACCAAUAACAGUUGCUUCAUGGUUCCUUUACCAGUUCCGCAAUCUAUAUGCCAAGACCGCUAACUGACUCCAAGCAAAAUACACUUCAAAUUCUUGACAUCGAGUUUUGUUCUUCCAGCAUUAGGAAUAUAAGCAUGAGAGAUGCACCCAAAAACUCUGAAAUACUCCACUAAUGGCUUGGUUCCACUCCAAGAUUUUUAUGGAGUUCUAUUCCUCACUGCAAGUGUAAGGCGUCGAUUUAGAACGUGGACGGUCCAAUUAAAUGCUUCAGGCCAAAACGUUUUUGGAAUAUUCUUCUCCGAAAGCAUGAUUCGAACCAUAUUCAUAAUGGUUCGAUUCUUACGUUCUGCUACCCCAUUUUGUUGUGGGUGUGUAUGGCUACUAGUUGCCUUUGAAUACCAUUUAUGUUACAAAAUUCAGUGAAUUCCUGGAAUGUAAACUCUGUUAGGGAGAAAAACGCGUGGGUCGACUUUGGCUAACAAGUAAUGAAAUUGAGAAAAUACAGCUAAAAAUGGACACAAGUAUUUACGUGGUUCACCCAAUUUUGGCUACGUCCACGGGCAAGUAUAGGAGGAUUUUACUGUAAUAGGAGAAUUACAACAACUCUCUAAAUACAAGGAGAUAACAACAAUUAAUCUCUCUUGUAAUAGAAAAACCAAGUAGGAAAUAUUUUAGGAAGAAACAAUAAUUUUUCUCUCUAUUUUUAUCUCUCUACUCACAAUUUUCUCUCCACUUAAUCUUUUCUUUUCUCUCUAUUUUUUCCUCUCUUUUCUGGCUUAUUUCACUUGGCAUGGUGGUUCUCUAUUUAUAGAGAAAUUUGGCUGCAACCGUCUCAAACUGUUUGGCCCAAAAACUCCCAACAAGGUGGUGAUGCAAGAGGAUGGUAGGUUGCAUGUUGGAGACUUGUUGGGCAAUUAAUAGCCAU